AAGUGUAUAUCGUCAUUGCUGCGGUUAAAAAGCUCGUAGUUGGAUCUGCGCCUCAGGACUUGGUCCACCCAUUGGGUGAGAACUAGGCUCCUGGGCUAGUACUGUUGGUUAUCCCUACGUUGCCUUCAUCGGUCGCGUAGGGUGGCUAACGAGUUUACUUUGAAAAAAUUAGAGUGCUUCACGCGGGCUAAUGUCUGAAUACUCGUGCAUGGAAUAAUAGAAUAGGAUCUCGGUUCUAUUUUGUUGGUUUUCUGAUCUGAGAUAAUGGUUAAGAGGGACGGACGGGGGCAUUCGUAUCGCUGCGUGAGAGGUGAAAUUCUUGGACCGUACGGAGACGUCCGACUGCGAAAGCAUUUGCCAUGAAUGUCUUCAUUAAUCAAGAACGAAAGUCAGAGGUUCGAAGGCGAUCAGAUACCGCCCUAGUUCUGACCGUAAACGAUACCAACUAGCGUUCCGUCGGCGGUAAAUUUGCCUUGACGGGCAGCUUCCCGGAAACGAAAGUUUUUCGGUUCCGGGGGAAGUAUGGUUGCAAAGCUGAAACUUAAAGAAAUUGACGGAAGGGCACCACCAGGAGUGGAGCCUGCGGCUUAAUUUGACUCAACACGGGAAAACUCACCUGGCCCGGACACCGUGAGGAUUGACAGAUUGAGAGCUCUUUCUUGAUUCGGUGGUUGGUGGUGCAUGGCCGUCUUAGUUGGGGGAGU
rnacentral:rRNA from 1 species